rnacentral:lncRNA from 1 species
UACCGUAGGGCUAGAGGGGAGGAGCAAGGGGAGGGUACUGGGGCUAUUUCCUUGUUGCCAGGUAGACUUGCAGCAGGCCCAGACACGCCCGUAAAAGGCACUCAAGAGUUCUAGCAGGGGGGGGGCAAGGCCCCCCACAGGUUACCAGAGUAACCUGCCCUUUUAUACUAGGUAAAAACUGUCCUUUCUGCUUGGGAGCCCAUACCUUCCCUUUUAGAUUUAAAGAAUCAUCACUCUAAGAAGUCCUCUUUUAAAGUACCUUUUCUGCUGGGUCCUAAGAUACCUGGCCUGUCAAAAUACAAACAACCAAUGAACAAUCAAGUUCUACAUACUGGAAAUUACAGCAAAAUCACAAGAAUUGGCCCAACUUGGAUCAGGUGCCAAAGCUAUCCCUUUUGGACAGAAGUAGGAGAUGUCAUGGGCAUUCAUCUGGGCUUGUCUCAUGAACAUUCAGCUUCUUCAGCC